rnacentral:rRNA from 1 species
CGACAACCCUUACCGUUAGUUACCAUCAGGUUAAGCUGGGGACUCUAGCGGACUGCCACCGUAAGGUGAGAGGAAGGUGGGGAUGACGUCAAUCAGCACGGCCCUUAUGUCCAGGGCUACACACGUGUUACAAUGGCCGGUACAAAGGGCAGCUACGUUCGCGAGAAGAGUGCUAAUCUACGAAAGCCCGGUCUCAGUUCGGAUCGAAGUCUGCAACCCGACUUCGUGAAGCUGGAUUCGCUAGUAAUCGCGGAUCAGCCAAGCCGCGGUGAAUACGUUCCCGGGCCUU